GGUUUAGAACGUCGUGAGACAGUUUGGUCCCUAUCUGCUGUUAAGAAGAAAAAAUGUAGAACCUUGCCUUAGUACGAGAGGACUGGGAUAGACUAAUCUCUGGUUUAGCAAUUGUUUGUUCAAAGCACGUUGCAAAGCUACAUUAGGACGAGAUAACUGCUGAAAACAAUAUAAAGCGGGAAGCUCCUCUACAAGUUUUUCGUAUAAGCGACUCAGAGAACAUGAGUAAUAAGUAUAUUUUAAGUGAAUUGAUCGUGAGAUCCGGAGCUUAAA
rnacentral:rRNA from 1 species